rnacentral:rRNA from 1 species
UACGGAGGGGGCUAGUGUUGUUCGGAAUUACUGGGCGUAAAGCGUACGUAGGCGGCUUUACAGGUCCGUUGUGAAAACUCGAGGCUCAACCCCGAGCGGUCGUGAGAAACUGGCAGGCUAGAGUGCGGGAGAGGAGAGUGGAAUUCCUGGUGUAGCGGUGAAAUGCGCAGAUAUCAGGAAGAACACCCGUGGCGAAGGCGACUCUCUGGAACGCAACUGACGCUGAGACGCGAAAGCGUGGGGAGCAAACAGG